rnacentral:rRNA from 1 species
CCUCGGGGUGCACCAGUGGGGAAUAUUGGACAAUGGGCGAAAGCCUGAUCCAGCAAUGCCGCGUGUGUGAAGAAGGUCUUCGGAUUGUAAAGCACUUUCGACGGGGGCGAUGAUGACGGUACCCGUAGAAGAAGCCCCGGCUAACUUCGUGCCAGCAGCCGCGGUAAUACGAAGGGGGCUAGCGUUGCUCGGAAUGACUGGGCGUUAAGGGCGCGUAGGCGGUUUAUGCAGUCAGAUGUGAAAUCCCCGGGCUUAACCUGGGAACUGCAUUUGAGACGCAUAGACUAGAGGUCAAGAGAGGGUUGUGGAAUUCCCAGUGUAGAGGUGAAAUUCGUAGAUAUUGGGAAGAACACCGGUGGCGAAGGCGGCAACCUGGCUCGAUACUGACGCUGAGGCGCGAAAGCGUGGGGAGCAAACAGGAUUAGAUACCCCUGUAGUC